AUAUACACUAUGGAAGUCUACUCAGCCAUUAGAAAGGAUGAACUAGCGCCAUUUGCAACAACAUGAAUGGACCUUGAGAACAUUAUUCUAACUAAAAUGUCAGUCAGAAAAAGCUAAGAAGUAUAUGAUUUCACUCAUAUGUGGAUAUAAAACUG